rnacentral:lncRNA from 1 species
AAUUAAUUACACUUGAUCACAAAAUUAAUUCUUAAUUAAUUAUUGACCAAUAUUAAUUAAACAAAUAUGAUUUCUCCUUUAAUAUAUUAUUCUUAUAACAUAUUAAUAAAUCAUAAUAACCUCUCUCUCUAUUUAUUUCUCCAAUCAAGUUGCUUUGGUGAAGGCAACCCAAAAGGACCAUGCACCAUCGGGUCAAGUACAUACCAAAAUAGUUAUGGACUUAGACACUAAUCCAACAGUCUCCCACUUGGAUAAGUCUAACAACUAUUCUGCGUAUGACUUCGGAUCCCGAUCUGCAAUCGUAGCUUUCCAAAGCCGCUGUCAACUCUGAUCAUAUCAGAUACGCGUGUCCUUAGAUAAGGGAUCAUAUAUUCCUCCAUUCUAGAUAUCAUAUGAGAUAUGAUUUCAAAUCAUUCUCUUUGUACUAUAUCUCGAUUUCCGAUUUAUGACGACUGACUAAUUGAACAAAUCAAAUUAGCCCUAGCCCGGCCGAGCAUUUACGUUUGUCAUCACUAAACCAUCGAGGGGCCCAAAGAUAUCGCUUUUAUCCUACUUUGGAUAAAAGGAACGGAUAAACUUUGAUACAAUGCUUGCUUGCACUCACUCACCGAAUCACACACAACAAUAUGUUUUAUAACACCAAGUUACUAGUGCGUUUACAUAUUAUCAAUGUGCAACCGAUUUGCAAGAUACAACUCACACAUCUCGGUUUCAAGAAUAUAAGAUGUUAUCGUCUCACCAAUCACUCGUGAUACAAUUCAUGGAGUGAUCCAAGUGAGCGUGGGUUUAAUCCAAUGCUCAAAUCACAUUCAUAAGCACUCAUGAACGUUGCAGCAAACAUUUGCUUAUGUCUAAUACUCUUUUAGACAAUCCACACACCAAUUCACGACAGUCUUCAUUCAUAUCUACUUCCAACAUAUGAACGACUGUGGCCCGUUUGAAUAAUUCGAUUAUUCUUAAUAAACUCAAUUAUUCUGGAAGUCAAAACAUGCAAAUGUGAAACACAAGAAUAAUACUAAUCCCAUAUGGCCUCAAACCUUUGAGUAUAAAUAAAACACCUUUUAUUUAUCACCAUAUUGAUUACUCAUUAUUUGUCGUUUCGGGUAAUCAACUUCUUACUUGAAUUCCAACACUUGUCCCAUGCUCCUAGCAUGCACACAAUGUUUACCUAUGGUUCUUACUUUGUGAAAUAGAUCACAUUGAACACAUUUCCAAUCCUUCUCAUUUCACAACUCCAAAUCCGUUUUUCAUAAGUCAAAGAAUAUCAAAUUCUUGCUACUUAUAGAAUAUGCUAGAUUCUAACAUUCUAUGCAACUAUCCUUUCGUAAUGUCACUGCACCAAAGUCACAAAGACUAUUGCCAAUGAUAUUACAAAGUCCUCUAUCGGAGAUUGUUACAAGACAAUUCCAUAGACGUGAUGUCUCUCACUCAAAGUACAUUCUUUGAACAUCCUUUUGCAUAGAAGUUUCUAAUCUAGUCAUAGAUUUCUCAAUAUUCAAUUCCCAAUAUGGACACACUUCCAUAUGUUCCAUAUGACAACUCAUUCUUAAUAGAAUCUUAUCUAUUCGUAAUGAUGUCGAUAUGGUCCAUCCAAUAUGGAAACAUUUCCAUAUUUUCCAAUACUAUACUUCCAACUACUCACAAGCGACCAAUCCUCGUCGAACUUUGGAUUGUCCUUUGAUAGUUGUUUAAUUAUUUUAGUCAAAACCAAUUCUAGUCCCUUUUCCCUCUAAAUGCGCUAGACAUUUGGAAAAUUUUAGAAUGGUCAAACAUUAAAGCAUUUGCAAUCGAUCCUAUACCCGAAGCGUAUGGGACACGACGCAUAAUGUUUUAUUUGCUAUGUUCUCAAAAUUCGAAUUGUGAAGAGGAAUGCCGUAAUCAUAAUCGAAAUUUUAAGAACACACUAUGUACCCUUGACUAAAUUUAUUAACAUUUCUCAACCUAAUCCUUUAGAUUUGAAAUGAAGCAUAAUAUUCUCUCCCUUAAUUAUAGCAAAACAACUUUACAACCCUUACGACUUUGCAAGGUAUAACUCUUGUUUUCUAUAAUUAAUAUUGCCAACUUGCAAUACGUGCCUUAAUAAUCAUACAAUCAUAACAUUUAUGCUCCCACUAUCAUGAUGAUUAUUAUAAAACAUAACACUUAUGCUCCCACUAGCUUCGACAUGUAUUCAUAAACAUCUUAACUUUCAGAAAAACAAUACUUAUUGAAUUUCUUAAGUUCAUGUUUCUAAUACUUAGUGCUUUGAUAAUCUUUUAUCAAGGCUUCUUGAACUUAUACACCUUUGCCUUCGAUAGUUCAUAUGUGUGUCUAAACAAUUAAGACUAAUUGCCAAACCUCACAAUUCAAAUUAUGGAAAGGGAUACCGUAACCAUAAUCGAAUUCGAGAAUGCAAUUUUACAAUCACUAUCUUCUUAAAAUCUUUCUUAGUGAAAGCAUUUCCUCACAAUCAUUUUCAUGAAGGAGGAAAUCUUAUGACACUUAGAUUUAAACGGUGUAUGUGUUCCUAUCCAUGUGAAUUUGUUAAAACCAAAGUUUACGACAAAUUCAAACUCAUAUGGACCGAACUUUCUUAAUCUUGAUUUCUUGCCUUAUGGUAGCACAGCUGCCCACCAUGUCUUCCAAGUAGUUAAGCAGCUCACCCUUUCCUAUCAAUGUACCUUUCAUUGAUUAAGGUGCUUUGCCUUUUAUGCGUUCAAAAUGAGAACUCAUAGAACUCACAUGCAUAAUUAACUCGAUUGGAUUGGCACAGAAACAAAAUAAUGUCAACACGAUAGGUUGUAAACCUCAACUCGUGUGCUAGUGAUGAUCGAUAAGGUUUAUUUGAUUUGUUCUUGAAACCUUUCAAGACCAUUAAGACUCCCACUGACUCCUUGACAUAUAAGAUUCUCUUGUCAAUAAACAUUUCUUGACAAACAAAUAUUCAAGAGUUAGUGUAGCUUUUAUCAAAACACUUCAUAAAUUGGUCCUAGUUGGUCUUUGUCUUAUCCAAGACAUCACAACUUUCCACAUUUGAUGAAUGUUAUAAACCUUCUUAAUACUUAUCACUCAAUGUCACAAUCUUAACUCUAAGACUUGUUUUGGAACGAAGUAUGAUUGACUUCUUGAUUUAACCAUUUCUUCAAUUCUUGAUUCCUCUUCUUAGACAUACAAUUGUACUAAGACUCACUUAGAGGAUCAAUUGAGAUAUGGUUCUUAAUCAUUAAGACCUAUCAUAAAGCAUAAAAGGUACUCUCCCUUCUUCUUAGAAUGGAGAAACUUUUAUCUUUCUGCCUACUUGAUUCUUCUUAUUCGUUCUGCUAUUGAUUUAAACUUUUUCAAUCAAUUCAGAAUUACACUUAAUCUUAUAAGUAUAAUCAUAUUUACUAAACCUUUAGUAAAUCAUGACGAAUAUCUUUGUUACUCUUAUGGUGGACUUGAUCAACACGCAACUUUGUGUACUCGAUCUCCUAGUCCUUCACUUGACACUUUGUCAAUGAAUUAGUCUAAUUUCCAAAUAUGAAAUUUCUCAUUCAUCGUGCAACCAAGUUGCAUGAUUCCAAGUUUCUGUCCAAUUGAAACUUGGGCGAUGAGAAACUCUCCCUAUUUGGUAAAUUCUCGACUUUCCAUAAAUAACAUAAUAAGAACCAAAUCCAUUAUUGCUAAUAAUAGAAACAUUCAAACAUCAAUUUUUCAUAUACGCCAUUGCAAGGAUAAAUAAAUAAUAUAAAAUCAAAAUUUAUUUUAUUGCGGAAAAAUUUGUCCUUACAAUGCAAUUCAUUGAAAAACUAUGCUAAUACAUCUUUCUUAGCAAUCUAAUUCUAACUCUAAGUAGUAGCUCAAGAAUCUAAUCUUCGAGAAAUGCGAUCGAAAUCCAUUCCUUCACGGUUAGAUUCUGCUCACUUCUUCCCUUAAGCUUCCUUUCUUUUCUUCGAUCCUACAAAACAUCAAUUGUAAUCUUAUCACAUUAUGUAUUAAGAAUCUAGAAUAGAAGCUUAAAAGAGUUAGUUAAUGGAUUUUACCUAUAUUAGAGCCAUACGUUUCGACUCUCCCAUCUCUUAGAUCUCUUAGGUAAAUGGGGCAGCUUCGUCUCCAAUGCCCUUUCUCUUGGCAAUAAAAGCAAAUUGACUCUUUUGGAACAUGACAUGGAACUACUUCAGACAUUGCCUUUCUCUUAUGAUCAAACUUUUCGAUCAUAGCAUGUCUUUCGUUGCCAUUGUCUAUAUCCAUAGAGGUCUUGAAGGCAGAUUCACCAAUCAACUUUGCUUUUCUAUUGCGCCAAACCAUUGCUGAUUCAGCAGCAAUAAGCAUAUAGGUGAGAUCUAUAAGGGUCACGUCGCGGUUCAUCAUAUAGUACUCUCUUACGAACUCACUAUAUGAGUUAGGAAGUGACUGAAGAACCCAAUCAACAGCCAUUUCCUCACAGACAACGGAUCCCAACAUUCUUAACCUAUCAAUGUGUGACUUCAUCCCUAGGACGUGUGCACACACCGACUUUCCUUCUUUAUGUUUACUUGCCAAAAGGGCUUGAGUGAUCUUGAACUUUUCAAGCCUUUGAACUUGUGGGUUAGGGAGAAUAAUUGGAGGAGGAGGAGGAAGUGAAGCAUGAUUUCUUGUUCCUCGAUCGAAUCGUGGAAUAUCAUCUUCAUGUGGAAUGCUUGUUCCACGGGAUUUGGGAAGACCAUAGUUGUCGAACUUUGACAUCUACAAAACGGGAGAAAACGAAUUCAAGUUAGUUGAUUGAUUGAGUCCUUAGUAAAUCACCCAAAUGAGAUACUAAGGCUAGGACCCAACACAAUAUUCUACAACUCGGGAGAGGGAUGCCGUAACCCUAAUUGCAGAAUAUUUGAAGGUAAGUGAAUGACGAUUCACUAAUUUCCACCAUGAAAAACGAAAAAGAAAUUUAAGUUUUAAAUCUAUGAAAACUCCUAGAUCCUUUGAGAUUCAUUGAACUUUCAAUGGCAUGUUUAAAUCUCGAUAUGCCCCUCUUGUUUGUGACUGGGAUGCCGAGGAUCACAAAGCGGGUGUGAAUAACCAUGCAAACUUACAUGGUGCCCUCACAUGUUACAGUCACCUAUUCGAUGUGCCGGUAAACCACACACGCUCCACCGAACUAUGACAAACAUUGAGUCACCCUUUGCUACCUUUGCUUAGAACCAUUUAGUGUGCCGGUAAACCACACACGCUCCACUAACGUCUUCGCAAGGGCACAAAGUGUAAUUUCAUGGAAUUGCAUCAAUUCACUUUUGCCUAAGUAACUAAGAUUGGGAAUUUUAUGAAAACAUUUAGUUACUUUAAUAAUUCAUUAUACUUAUAAUGGAAGGUUUCGUCCUAUCCUACCCGUUCGGCUAACGACCCUCCACUAGUCAAGAGUGCGGUGGGUAAGAGUGGAUACCCAUUCAAUCGCCAUUUUAUAGGCAAUUUCCUUAAACACCCCUUAUAGACCAGCUUCGUGAAUGAGGCCUACUAACGGUAAGACUGACUUUUACUCAUACAUAUAUAUAAUGUUAGACUUUUAAUGUUAUAUAUAGUAUAGGGUGUAUUUUAUACUUUCAAAAUACUAGGUGGUCUAAUUUAACAAUUAUACUUUUAAUUCAAUUAAAUUGUAAACCUAAACUUUUAUGGAUUUAUUAAACCUCUUUUAAUUAUACACCUUAAUUAAUUAAUAAAACCAUAAGGGUGUGAUUUGAACUUUUUCAAAACAAUACUAGGGUUUUAGAAUUUAACAUUCCUAAUUAAACUUUUAAUCAACUUUUAAAUUCCAAAACUUGAGGGCAAGUUUUGAAACAUUUCAAAACAUUAGGGUUUAGAAUUUAAAUAUACAUCAAAAUUAAACUAUUAAUCAAAAUUUAAAUUCCAAAACUUGAGGGCAAGUUUUGAAACCUUUUUCAAAACAUUAGGGUUUCAACUAUUUAAAUUUCAAAACAACAAAACUUUUGGGUUCAAAUUUAAACUAUAAAACCUAAAGGGGAAAAUAUGAAACUUUUCAAAACACAAGGAUCAAAUAACAAAUAAUCUAAAUUAACAUUUAAUCACAUAAUUAUCCAUAUUUGAUUUAUUUAAUGAUUUCUUGCAAAACAAUUUACCAAUUUAAUCAAAAUAAUUAAUCAAUUAUCACAUAAGGAAACAAAUAUUUUAUUAAUUGAUAAAUAUCUUCAAUUAGAUCAAGAAUAUAGUCAUAUAUAUCAUAAAAUCGGAUUUAUAUUGAUCUAAUAUGAUAAAGGCAAGUAUCUCAAAGAUAAACAACAAGAAAUCCCGAAAAUAGCUCCAUCUGACGCUCGAACUCGCCGAGUACCACACUGUACUCGCCGAGUUGAGGCCUACUCGCCGAGUACACUGUGGUACUCGCCGAGUUCAUCAGGCAGGGAGGCCAAAAACGAUUUUUCAGCUUGAACAAACAUAUAAUGCAUCAAUACAAUAGAAACCAAUCAAGGCUCUGAUACCUCUGAUGGGUUUUGGUCAUAAGACAUCCUAUGUGCUCAUACAAACCCUAAUGCUUGGAUCUAGGUUUCUCUAUUGUACAUGCUUUGAAUCCAAGACUAUAAACCCUAAUUCUAGCAUAUGGAAAUCAAUAUUAACAUAUAAUUAGGUUUAAGAUAUUACCUUGAUUGUUAUGUAGCAAUAACAAUCCCAAUUCCUCCUUGAAUUGACUUUGGAAGGCUUAGAGUCACAAGUGUCACUCCUCUAAUGGUUCACAAACACCAUAAGCAAGAGGAUGAAGAGGAGAGAGGAUGGAGGCUGCCCAAAACGUGUUCUAACCCUAGAAGAGAAGUUCCCCACGUUUUUGAGCCUUAAGGGUUCUAUAUAUAGUGAGGCUAUUAGGGUUAUCUAACAAGGAAACCCUAAUUUGGAUGCUUAAGCCCUAAGCAACCCAUGGACUCCUUUAAUUAAGGCCUUGGACGAUUUCCUUAUGGGUUUCCCCAUAGAAUUCGUCCACUCCUUAAUAUAAGGCAAUCCAUGGCCCAAAUUGCAAUUAUCUUAUAAUUACAAUUCCAGUCCCUUAAGUUUAAUUAAUCUCUUUUAGUCACAAACUUAAUUCUUAUUAAUUCUUGACUAAUAUUAAUUAAACAAUAUGAUUUCUCCUUUAAUAUAUUAUUCUCAUAAUAUAUUAAUAAAUCAUAUUUAAUCCUUUCUCUCCAUAAUUCAUCCUAUCAAGUUGCUUUGGUGAAGGCAACCCAAAAGGACCAUGCACCAUCGGGUCAAGUACAUACCAAAAUAGUUAUGGACUUAGACACUAAUCCAACAGUCUCCCACUUGGAUAAGUCUAAUAACUAUUCUGCGUAUGACUUCAGAUCCUGAUCUGCAAUCGUAGCUUUCCAAAGCCGCUGUCAACUCUGAUCAUAUCAGAUACGCGUGUCCUUAGAUAAGGGAUCAUAUAUUCCUCCAUUCUAGAUAUCAUAUGAGAUAUGAUUUCAAAUCAUUCUCUUUGUACUAUAUCUCGAUUUCCGAUUUAUGACGACUGACUAAUUGAACAAAUCAAAUUAGCCCUAGCCCGGCCGAGCAUUUACGUUUGUCAUCACUAAAUCAUCGAGGGGCCCAAAGAUAUCGCUUUUAUCCUACUUUGGAUAAAAGGAACGGAUAAACUUUGAUACAAUGCUUGCUUGCACUCACUCACCGAAUCACACACAACAAUAUGUUUUAUAACACCAAGUUACUAGUGCGUUUACAUAUUAUCAAUGUGCAACCGAUUUGCAAGAUACAACUCACACAUCUCGGUUUCAAGAAUAUAAGAUGUUAUCGUCUCACCAAUCACUCGUGAUACAAUUCAUGGAGUGAUCCAAGUGAGCGUGGGUUUAAUCCAAUGCUCAAAUCAUAUUCAUAAGCACUCAUGAACGUUGCAGCAAACAUUUGCUUAUGUCUAAUACUCUUUUAGACAAUCCACACACCAAUUCACGACAGUCUUCAUUCAUAUCUACUUCCAACAUAUGAACGACUGUGGCCCGUUUGAAUAAUUCGAUUAUUCUUAAUAAACUCAAUUAUUCUGGAAGUCAAAACAUGCAAAUGUGAAACACAAGAAUAAUACUAAUCCCAUAUGGCCUCAAACCUUUGAGUAUAAAUAAAACACCUUUUAUUUAUCACCAUAUCGAUUACUCAUUAUUUGUCGUUUCGGGUAAUCAACUUCUUACUUGAAUUAUUACACUUGUCCCAUGCUCCUAGCAUGCACACAAUGUUUACCUAUGGUUCUUACUUUGUGAAAUAGAUCAAAUUGAACACAUUUCCAAUCAUUCUCAUUUCACAACUCCAAAUCCUUUUUCAUAAGUGAAAGAAUAUCAAAUUCUUGCUACUUAUAGAAUAUGCUAGAUUCUAACAUUCUAUGCAAUGAUCCUUUCGUAAUGUCACUGCACCAAAGUCACAAAGACUAUUGCCAAUGAUAUUACAAAGUCCUCUAUCGGAGAUUGUUACAAGACAAUUCCUUAGAUAUGAUGUCUCUCACUCAAAGUACAUUCCUUUGAACAUCCUUUUGCAUAAAAGUUUCUAAUCUAGACAUAGAUUUUCAAUAUUCAAUUCCCAAUAUGGACACGCUUCCAUAUUUUCCAUAUGACAACUCAUUCUUAAUAGAAUCUUAUCUAUUCGUAAUGAUGUCGAUAUGGUCCAUCCAAUAUGGAAACAUUUCCAUAAUUUCCAUAUGACAACUCAUUCUUAAUAGAAUCUUUUCUAUUCAUAAUAAUGUCGAUAUGGUCCAUCCAAUACCAUGCUUCCAACUACUCACAAGCGACCAAUCCUCGUCGAACUUUGGAUUGUCCUUUGAUAGUUGUUUAAUUAUUUUAGUCAAAACCAAUUCUAGUCCCUUUUCCCUCUAAAUGCGCUCGACAUUUGGAAAAUUUUAGAAUGGUCAAACAUUAAAGCAUUUGCAAUCGAUCCUAUACCCGAAGCGUAUGGGACACGACGCAUAAUGUUUUAUUUGCUAUGUUCUCAAAAUUCGAAUUGUGAAGAGGGAUGCCGUAAUCAUAAUCGAAAUUUUAAGAACACACUAUGUACCUUUGACUAAAUUUAUUAACAUUUCUCAACCUAAUCCUUUAGAUUUGAAAUGAAGCAUAAUAUUCUCUCCCUUAAUUAUAGCAAAACAACUUUACAACCCUUACGACUUUGCAAGGUAUAACUCUUGUUUUCUAUAAUUAAUAUUGCCAACUUGCAAUACGUGCCUUAAUAAUCAUACAAUCAUAACAUUUAUGCUCCCACUAUCAUGAUGAUUAUUAUAAAACAUAACACUUAUGCUCCCACUAGCUUCGACAUGUAUUCAUAAACAUCUUAACUUUCAGAAAAACAAUACUUAUUGAAUUUCUUAAGUUCAUGUUUCUAAUACUUAGUGCUUUGAUAAUCUUUUAUCAAGGCUUCUUGAACUUAUACACCUUUGCCUUCGAUAGUUCAUAUGUGUGUCUAAACAAUUAAGACUAAUUGCCAAACCUCACAAUUCAAAUUAUGGAAAGGGAUACCGUAACCAUAAUCGAAUUCGAGAAUGCAAUUUUACAAUCACUAUCUUCUUAAAAUCUUUCUUAGUGAAAGCAUUUCCUCACAAUCAUUUUCAUGAAGGAGGAAAUCUUAUGACACUUAGAUUUAAACGGUGUAUGUGUUCCUAUCCAUGUGAAUUUGUUAAAACCAAAGUUUACGACAAAUUCAAACUCAUAUGGACCGAACUUUCUUAAUCUUGAUUUCUUGCCUUAUGGUAGCACAGCUGCCCACCAUGUCUUCCAAGUAGUUAAGCAGCUCACCCUUUCCUAUCAAUGUACCUUUCAUUGAUUAAGGUGCUUUGCCUUUUAUGCGUUCAAAAUGAGAACUCAUAGAACUCACAUGCAUAAUUAACUCGAUUGGAUUGGCACAGAAACAAAAUAAUGUCAACACGAUAGGUUGUAAACCUCAACUCGUGUGCUAGUGAUGAUCGAUAAGGUUUAUUUGAUUUGUUCUUGAAACCUUUCAAGACCAUUAAGACUCCCACUGACUCCUUGACAUAUAAGAUUCUCUUGUCAAUAAACAUUUCUUGACAAACAAAUAUUCAAGAGUUAGUGUAGCUUUUAUCAAAACACUUCAUAAAUUGGUCCUAGUUGGUCUUUGUCUUAUCCAAGACAUCACAACUUUCCACAUUUGAUGAAUGUUAUAAACCUUCUUAAUACUUAUCACUCAAUGUCACAAUCUUAACUCUAAGACUUGUUUUGGAACGAAGUAUGAUUGACUUCUUGAUUUAACCAUUUCUUCAAUUCUUGAUUCCUCUUCUUAGACAUACAAUUGUACUAAGACUCACUUAGAGGAUCAAUUGAGAUAUGGUUCUUAAUCAUUAAGACCUAUCAUAAAGCAUAAAAGGUACUCUCCCUUCUUCUUAGAAUGGAGAAACUUUUAUCUUUCUGCCUACUUGAUUCUUCUUAUUCGUUCUGCUAUUGAUUUAAACUUUUUCAAUCAAUUCAGAAUUACACUUAAUCUUGUAAGUAUAAUCAUAUUUACUAAACCUUUAGUAAAUCAUGACGAAUAUCUUUGUUACUCUUAUGGUGGACUUGAUCAACACGCAACUUUGUGUACUCGAUCUCCUAGUCCUUCACUUGACACUUUGUCAAUGAAUUAGUCUAAUUUCCAAAUAUGAAAUUUCUCAUUCAUCGUGCAACCAAGUUGCAUGAUUCCAAGUUUCUGUCCAAUUGAAACUUGGGCGAUGAGAAACUCUCCCUAUUUGGUAAACUCUCGACUUUCCAUAAAUAACAUAAUAAGAACCAAAUCCAUUAUUGCUAAUAAUAGAAACAUUCAAACAUCAAUUUUUCAUAUACGCCAUUGCAAGGAUAAAUAAAUAAUAUAAAAUCAAAAUUUAUUUUAUUGCGGAAAAAAUUUGUCCUUACAAUGCAAUUCAUUGAAAAACUAUGCUAAUACAUCUUUCUUAGCAAUCUAAUUCUAACUCUAAGUAGUAGCUCAAGAAUCUAAUCUUCGAGAAAUGCGAUCGAAAUCCAUUCCUUCACGGUUAGAUUCUGCUCACUUCUUCCCUUAAGCUUCCUUUCUUUUCUUCGAUCCUACAAAACAUCAAUUGUAAUCUUAUCACAUUAUGUAUUAAGAAUCUAGAAUAGAAGCUUAAAAGAGUUAGUUAAUGGAUUUUACCUAUAUUAGAGCCAUACGUUUCGACUCUCCCAUCUCUUAGAUCUCUUAGGUAAAUGGGGCAGCUUCGUCUCCAAUGCCCUUUCUCUUGGCAAUAAAAGCAAAUUGACUCUUUUGGAACAUGACAUGGAACUACUUCAGACAUUGCCUUUCUCUUAUGAUCAAACUUUUCGAUCAUAGCAUGUCUUUCGUUGCCAUUGUCUAUAUCCAUAGAGGUCUUGAAGGCAGAUUCACCAAUCAACUUUGCUUUUCUAUUGCGCCAAACCAUUGCUGAUUCAGCAGCAAUAAGCAUAUAGGUGAGAUCUAUAAGGGUCACGUCGCGGUUCAUCAUAUAGUACUCUCUUACGAACUCACUAUAUGAGUUAGGAAGUGACUGAAGAACCCAAUCAACAGCCAUUUCCUCACAGACAACGGAUCCCAACAUUCUUAACCUAUCAAUGUGUGACUUCAUCCCUAGGACGUGUGCACACACCGACUUUCCUUCUUUAUGUUUACUUGCCAAAAGGGCUUGAGUGAUCUUGAACUUUUCAAGCCUUUGAACUUGUGGGUUAGGGAGAAUAAUUGGAGGAGGAGGAGGAAGUGAAGCAUGAUUUCUUGUUCCUCGAUCGAAUCGUGGAAUAUCAUCUUCAUGUGGAAUGCUUGUUCCACGGGAUUUGGGAAGACCAUAGUUGUCGAACUUUGACAUCUACAAAACGGGAGAAAACGAAUUCAAGUUAGUUGAUUGAUUGAGUCCUUAGUAAAUCACCCAAAUGAGAUACUAAGGCUAGGACCCAACACAAUAUUCUACAACUCGGGAGAGGGAUGCCGUAACCCUAAUUGCAGAAUAUUUGAAGGUAAGUGAAUGACGAUUCACUAAUUUCCACCAUGAAAAACGAAAAAGAAAUUUAAGUUUUAAAUCUAUGAAAACUCCUAGAUCCUUUGAGAUUCAUUGAACUUUCAAUGGCAUGUUUAAAUCUCGAUAUGCCCCUCUUGUUUGUGACUGGGAUGCCGAGGAUCACAAAGCGGGUGUGAAUAACCAUGCAAACUUACAUGGUGCCCUCACAUGUUACAGUCACCUAUUCGAUGUGCCGGUAAACCACACACGCUCCACCGAACUAUGACAAACAUUGAGUCACCCUUUGCUACCUUUGCUUAGAACCAUUUAGUGUGCCGGUAAACCACACACGCUCCACUAACGUCUUCGCAAGGGCACAAAGUGUAAUUUCAUGGAAUUGCAUCAAUUCACUUUUGCCUAAGUAACUAAGAUUGGGAAUUUUAUGAAAACAUUUAGUUACUUUAAUAAUUCAUUAUACUUAUAAUGGAAGGUUUCGUCCUAUCCUACCCGUUCGGCUAACGACCCUCCACUAGUCAAGAGUGCGGUGGGUAAGAGUGGAUACCCAUUCAAUCGCCAUUUUAUAGGCAAUUUCCUUAAACACCCCUUAUAGACCAGCUUCGUGAAUGAGGCCUACUAACGGUAAGACUGACUUUUACUCAUACAUAUAUAUAAUGUUAGACUUUUAAUGUUAUAUAUAGUAUAGGGUGUAUUUUAUACUUUUAAAAUACUAGGUGGUCUAAUUUAACAAUUAUACUUUUAAUUCAAUUAAAUUGUAAACCUAAACUUUUAUGGAUUUAUUAAACCUCUUUUAAUUAUACACCUUAAUUAAUUAAUAAAACCAUAAGGGUGUGAUUUGAACUUUUUCAAAACUAUACUAGAGUUUUAGAAUUUAACAUUCCUAAUUAAACUUUUAAUCAACUUUUAAAUUCCAAAACUUGAGGGCAAGUUUUGAAACAUUUCAACACAUUAGGGUUUAGAAUUUAAAUAUGCAUCAAAAUUAAACUAUUUAAUCAAAAUUUAAAUUCCAAAACUUGAGGGCAAGUUUUGAAACCUUUUUCAAAACAUUAGGGUUUCAACUAUUUAAAUUUCAAAACAACAAAACUUUUGGGGUUCAAAUUUAAACUAUAAAACCUAAAGGGCCAAAUAUGAAACUUUUCACAACAACAAGGAUCAAAUAACAAAUAAUUCAAAUUAACAUUUAAUCACAUAAUUAUCCAUAUUUGAUGAUUUCUUGCAAAAUAAUUUAUCAAUUUACUUAAAAUAAUUAAUCAAUUAUCUUAUAAGGAAACAAUUAUCUUAUUAAUUGAUAAAUAUCUUCAAUUAGAUUAAAAAUAUAGUCAAAUAUAUCAUAUAAUCGGAUUAAUAUUAAUCUAACAUGAUAAGGUAAUUAUCCCAAUGCAAAAACAGCAAGAAAUCCCGAGAUAAGCACUGUCUGACGCACCGACUCGCCGAGUCACCCUCUGGAACUCGCCGAGUAGGGCUGACUCGCCGAGUCCAAGAGUGACUCGCCGAGUCAGGUCGAACAGUGAGGCCAAAACACGAUUUUCAGUUACAUCAAGCAUCAAUACAAUAGAAACCAAUCAUGGCUCUGAUACUAUUGAUGGGUUUUGGUCAUAAGACAUCCUAUGUGCUCAUACAAACCCUAAAGCUUGGAUCUAGGUUUCUCUAUUGUACAUACUUUGAAUCCAAGACUUUGAACCCUAAUUCUAGCAUAUGGAAAUCAGAAUUCACAUGUAAUUAGGUUUAAGAACAUACCUUGAUUGUUAUAUAGCAAUAACAAUCCAAUUCCUCCUUGAAUUGACCUUGGAAAGCUGAGAGUCACAAGUGUCACUCCUCUAAUGGCUUACAAACACCAUAAGCAAGUGGAGAAGGUAUAAACAGAGAGGAGGGAGGUUAGAAUUCGUCUCUAAAACUUAUUGGGAAGGGAUACACGAAUUCAUGACCCUAGGGGUGUUUAUAUAGGUGUAGAGAUAGGGUUUCAGUCAUUAUCCUUAUCUAGUUGCUUAUCCACCAAGCAACCAAUAAGAUAAUCCUUGAAUCCUUAUCAUACUCGAAUUCUAAGGGAUUUACACCUCAAAUUCGUUCACCAUAUAUAUAAGAUAAUCCUUACCUUAUUUUGUAACUAUCACAUAAUUACAAUUCAGCCCCUCUAGUUUAAUUAAUUACACUUGAUCACAAAAUUAAUUCUUAAUUAAUUAUUGACCAAUAUUAAUUAAACAAAUAUGAUUUCUCCUUUAAUAUAUUAUUCUUAACAUAUUAAUAAAUCAUAAUAACCUCUCCCUCUUUAUUUAUUUCUCCAAUCAAGUUGCUUUGGUGAAGGCAACCCAAAAGGACCAUGCACCAUCGGGUCAAGUACAUACCAAAAUAGUUAUGGACUUAGACACUAAUCCAACAUAAAAUGCUAGGAGAUUCGGGCCCCACCCACACUCGACUACUAACAUAUCUCAUAUACAGGCUGGAUUUGUUGCCUUAGACUCGUUCCUACUGAAAGGGAACUCGCCUUGCAAGACUGACUGCUGAAAACUUGAGUGAGGAAUC